rnacentral:rRNA from 1 species
CAGCAGCCACGGUAAUACGUAGGGCGCAAGCGUUGUCCGGAAUUAUUGGGCGUAAAGAGCUCGUAGGCGGUCUGUCGCGUCUGGUGUGAAAUCCCGAGGCUCAACCUCGGGCUUGCAUCGGGUACGGGCAGACUAGAGUGCGGUAGGGGAGACUGGAAUUCCUGGUGUAGCGGUGGAAUGCGCAGAUAUCAGGAGGAACACCGAUGGCGAAGGCAGGUCUCUGGGCCGCAACUGACGCUGAGGAGCGAAAGCAUGGGGAGCGAACAGGAUUAGAUACCCCGGUAGUCCCUGUCUCUUAUAA